UGGGGAAUAUUGCGCAAUGGGCGAAAGCCUGACGCAGCGACGCCGCGUGUGGGAUGACGGCCUUCGGGUUGUAAACCACUGUCGGGAGGGACGCGGUACCUCCAAAGGAAGCACCGGCUAACUCUGUGCCAGCAGCCGCGGUAAUACAGAGGGUGCAAGCGUUGUCCGGAAUUACUGGGCGUAAAGGGCGCGUAGGCGGCCCGAUAAGUAGGAGGUGAAAUUCCGCGGCUCAACCGCGGGGCGGCCUUCUAGACUGUCGGCUUGAGCACGGUAGAGGCAAAUGGAAUUCCCGGUGUAGCGGUGGAAUGCGUAGAGAUCGGGAAGAACACCAGUGGCGAAGGCGGUUUGCUGGGCCGUUGCUGACGCUGAGGCGCGAUAGCGUGGGGAGCAAACAGGAUUAGAUACCCUAGUAGU
rnacentral:rRNA from 1 species